GACGAACGCUGGCGGCGUGCUUAACACAUGCAAGUCGAACGAUGAACCGGAGCUUGCUCCGGGGAUUAGUGGCGAACGGUGAGUAACACGUGGGCAACCUGCCCCAGACACCGGGAUAACCUUCCGAAAGGAUGGCUAAUACCGGAUACGACCACUUCGGGCAUCCGACGGUGGUGGAAAGGAUUCUGGUCUGGGAUGGGCCCGCGGCCUAUCAGCUUGUUGGUGGGGUAAUGGCCUACCAAGGCGACGACGGGUAGCCGGCCUGAGAGGGCGACCGGCCACACUGGGACUGAGACACGGCCCAGACUCCUACGGGAGGCAGCAGUGGGGAAUAUUGCGCAAUGGGCGAAAGCCUGACGCAGCGACGCCGCGUGAGGGACGAAGGUCUUCGGAUUGUAAACCUACUUUCUAGCAGGGACGAAGACGAAAGUAGACUGUACCUCGCAG
rnacentral:rRNA from 1 species